CCAAAGUAAAUCCAAUUGCACAUUGUCUUUGUUUUAUUACCUGUCCUGACAGUGUUAAUUCUUUAAUUCAUAAAUGAACAGGAUAUGUUAAUAUUCCAAACUGUUUCUUUGCAUUUAUUGUGGAUUUACUAUCAGUACUGGGCUAGCAGUUCACAUGUGUACGGUAUUUUGUAUUGUGGAUGACAGUGUUCAUCCACCACCACCGAAGACCAUUUUUGACCCAGGAAUAACCCUGCUUCUAGUGCAUAGAGUAAUGUUUUACUUCAUCAUGCCACCCACCUACUCCAUGAUCGUCCACUCCAGGGUUGUUGAUCCAGCGCAAAGCCAGCUCCAUUUUGCCCUCUAGGGUAACAGCAGCCUUGGCAGGUCUCAUGUUGGCCACAGCACGAUGCACCUGAAGGGGGCGUACCUGGCACGCACAUCUGACACCUGAUCCGUCAUCUGGCCCAAGGUCUUGGUUGUUCCCAGGAUCUCUCGUCUCUCUUUCCCCGCACAAAGCUCACCCACUUUUCCUGCUUCAUCCAGUAUCUGACGC